rnacentral:rRNA from 1 species
GACGUAGGGGGCGAGCGUUGUCCGGAUUUAUUGGGCGUAAAGCGCGCGUAGGCGGUCCGUUAAGUCGGAUGUGAAAAUCCGGGGCUCAACCCCGGACCUGCAUCCGAUACUGGCGGGCUGGAGGCAGGCAGGGGAGAUCGGAAUUCCUGGUGUAGCGGUGAAAUGCGCAGAUAUCAGGAGGAACACCGGUGGCGAAGGCGGAUCUCUGGGCCUGUCCUGACGCUCAGGCGCGAAAGCUAGGGGAGCAAACAGG